ACGUGUUCAAAUGUUUCCCCUGGGCCCUUCGUUUUAAAAUGCCCAGUCUGCAGAGUUCGGGUUGGACCUAGUAGGAGACGAGGCAUAGUCACCCGCAUUUCCACCACUUUUCAUCAGUAGGUUACCUGUUUAACCUACCUGUGGUUUCUUUUUUUCCGCUAGUGUUUAGUAGCUCUGAAUACUUGGGUUUAAUGUAUAUUAUUUCGGUUGUGGGUGAAGACUUGUUGACGUCUUAGAAUAUUUGUUGGAGGAUUUAUGGUAUCUUUUGGAUAAUUAUAUUUGAUGUUGGAUAAUGUUGUGUUGUUGGAGGUAGUUGUUUUUGGGGAGCACGUAGGCUCCAGGAGUUAAGGUUGGAUUAAAAAAUUUUGGAAGUGUUUGCAGGUUUUCGUUAGGAAGGGUUGUCCAUUUUCAAGGGAGGUUAUGCCAAUUUUUCGGUAAUAUCUUUCUUGGAGGUGGUCCCCGCACGAGUUACUCCGGGUUUCAGGGUGAAAUUCGGGGUGGGUCGUGUCAAUGGUCAUCAUUGGGGGACGCCUCAAUGUCAAUACCAAUCCAUAUAGAGAUCUCUACACUUAGAAAUUACAUCGGUGUACAUGAUGACGUGGUUUAAUGAGUUUGAUAUCGAACCAUACUUCGUUGAGAAAAUACCAACGAUGUAGAUUGGCCUAAAUGGAAAGAUGCGAUCCAGUUUAAACAAAUAGAUAGUGCUUUGGUUAGGUGACGCCAACACCCCAAGUGUAAACUCUAUCAGUUAUGUCUUUGUUAGAAAGUGUAGUGAGAAAAGGAGUUUAGACUCACCUUCUGGCGCAAGGUCUCUCACAAACGCCCUGGAAUCGACUACGAUGAGAUAUACUCUUGUAAUGGAUGUCAUUGCACUCCACUACCUUGUCAGUUUGGUAGUUUCUGAAAAAUUGAACAUGCAGCUUGUGGUCACAACUUAUCUUUAUUGGGAACUAAGAGAUGUACAUAAAAAUCUUGAAUAGAUUGGUUUUCACCCAAAUCAAGUGGCUCCUGACCACGGAGCGCGUUUGCAAGAUAUUUGCUAAGUAUCUACUUGAUUAGGGAAGAGAUAUGAAGAAUUAUGCCUAUUUGCGUGUAAAUUCUGGAUGAAUCGUG
rnacentral:lncRNA from 1 species